ensembl:lncRNA
CUCAAAUCAUAAACACUUGUUUUCAAACAAUUUGGUUCGCAAACAGAAACAUUUGGCAAAAUUUUGUUUCCGUUGGUAAACUCUGCAUUGGGUGGCAAACGUGACCACGGCAAUCUUUCCCACACUAAUACAAAUGUGACCAUCUUUUCCAAAAUUGUUGAACAAAUUCAAGUUUGUGAACCAAGGUACCACUGUACUGUAUAUGUGUGUGUUGAAUACAGUGUUUACAAGGUGUGAUAAAAAUAUACAAUGAAGGUUUCAAUUUAAAAUGUAUUACAGUAAAAGGUAUAUUGCUAUUAAUCCCCCUUAAAACACUACCCUUGGUUUUGAACACAUUCAUCCCAUCACUCUUGCCACUUUCUUAAGCAGUUCUGGAAAUUUUCUUUCAUAAAUAUCUUUCUAAAAUAUGGGAAAACUUAUGGUGAAUGUUAUUGCCGAGUGCCAAUCCAUGCAAAGGCAGGCUCCUUAAAAUAUUAUGGUUAGUCUUCUUCCAUCUUAUUCACUGGAUCUUGCACUGUGUGACUUCCAGCUCUUCACCAAAGUCAAAAGGCCCAAGAAAGGUAAAAGUGUUGAAUCCAUCUGGGACAUUGAGGCAACCACAACACUGCAGCUCAAGACCUGAAAGAGGACUUCCAGAACGGCUUCAGAAAGUAGGAUGGUUGGUGUGAUAAAUUCUUGAGACUAUUGCUUUGCUGAAAACAUUUGACAGCCACUCUGGAAUGUGACACUUAAGAUGAAUUCUAGCCCAGGAAUGCAGGUGGAGGGCAUCUGAAGUGUUGUGAAAGCAGUGGCAUGGAGAUGUCUUCUUGCACCAGCGACUGGCUUUUUUACAGACACAGAGAUGGUGUAACCCUCAUAUGGGGGACCCAAGAGGAUGUUGUAUAUUGCCAAAAACCAGCUACACUGCAUACUCUUAGAGAAGAAAUUGAAAAUGUAUGGACAGCGAUCUCAAUAAGCAAGGGACCUAAUUCGGGACCUUGCACUUGUGAGGCAGGUGGCAGAACCACUGAGCUAAAUCCCCAGCCCCACACUCACGACUGACUGCACUAAAGUUGAAAUGUGUCACUAAGAGUUACUUCUCCUAUUGAAGAUCCUUCCCGUUGGAUGGCACUGGGCAGCAGCAAUCACCCUGUUUUGAUCACACCUGAACGAAACAGUACAUGACUGCGGCUUGCUUCUAAUGGGAUCUUGAUACAAAUUUGUUGAAGGAAUGAAUGAAAAAAAAUGGCAAAUGUGAAGACAAGAAUCCCCAAGAGGUUCUACAGAUGACAUAAUGAUGAUAAGGAUAAUGGUGGUGAGUAUCAUUUUAUCCAGGGUUAUUCUGAGAAAAGAACUUUGAAAAGUGCUAAAUAACUAUAUUUUAGCUUUCCAGCAGUCCUAUUAAGAGGUGAUUAUUACUAUUCCCAUUCUACAGAUCCAGAAACAACCUCAGAGAAUUAACAUAAUUUGUGAGUGAUCAACAAAUAGGAAUAUUUAAAUGAAAAAAAAUUUGUGACAGUAAAAGGCACAUUGCCAUUAAUACUCCUAAAAAUAUUCCCCUUCACUUCGAACACACUUAUCCAUUAUUCUUGCUACUUUCUGAAGCAAUUCCUGAGUGUCUUUUUAUGGCUCCCUCCAUGUUCUGAGUUGAUUCAAAAUAUUUACAGCAAUUUCUGACAAAUAGACGCUAGUGUCUCCUUAUCCACCAGAUCUGGCACUGUGCAACUUCUGGCUCUUUCCUAAAGUCAAAAUGACCCUGAAAGGUAACUGUUUAGAAUUGAUUUAGGACAUGAAGAUAGCCACAACACCACAGAUAAAGACACAAAACAAGACUUUUAGAACUGCUUCAAAAAAUGGCAAGAAUGAAGGGAUACAUGCAAAUUGAGAGAGUAUUUUGAGGGAGAUUAAUGGCAAUGUGACUUUUAUUGUAAUGGUUUUGAAAAAUGAAACAUUCUCCAUAUAUUGUGUUCAUACCUCUGUCCAAAAUCACAGAAAUAGUAAGUAGCAGUUCUAAGACUUCAUCCCAGGUGCAUCUGAUACUGCAAUCAAAAACACUAUCUCAUAGAAAUGGAUUUCCUUUUAGUCCUCUGUGAUUGCUCUUCAAUUUAAAGUUGUACCACAUUCUCCUCAGAUAAAGCAUUAGUCUUUAAGGAGCUGGUGCAGAGGAGGGAAAGCCCAGGACCACCGGGUGUACUUGUGCAAAGUGUGCUUGCAGUACUUCAGAAGCUAUCAGUCGCCAAAACCUUUAUGUGAAUUGUGUCUCCUGGAGGUAUGCAAUGCACAAUAUUCACAAAUUCUUAUGAAUCUGAAAUCUGAGGCUUAUUUGAAGCAAGCAGUUCUUUUACUUUUCAAUCUAAAUGUUGACUGUUUAGGGGAACUGUACAUUUUUCCUGUCUAACUCAGAGAUUAUUUUAGGUAAAAAAACCUAUCCCAAGCGAGCUUUAUCACACUAUCUUAACAGUGGAAAAGUAUUCUUGGUGUAUACUAAGGAUCUUAUUUACUAAAGUAAUUGUUAACAAAGACCAUCCACAAAAAUAUUUCAAGUGGCAAAGAAUCAUGCAAUUAUAAUUCUGAAUAAAUAUUAAAAAUGUUUUUAUUGCCCAGAAAAUUAAAUCAUGUUAUUGAACAGUAUCUCUGACUUUUCUCAGUGUUAUUCAAUAAAGAUUUUCCUAAAGGUGAUUUUGAUUCAUUGUAGGGUAGGCACCAAAAAAUAAAUAACCUGGCAGAUGCAAUGCCAGAUGACAAAUAUGAAAGCACGUUCACUUAAUCUCUGCCUCAUUGUUUCACUAAUCUAUCUUUUUAAAUUUCCAAAGUUCUUCUCAAAGUCUUAGUUUAAGUUAACACUCUAAGCUUUUGAUAUUCAUUCUUUCAUUUAGGAAAUAUUUCCCAAAUCUUAAAAAGAGC